rnacentral:rRNA from 1 species
AGAUUGAACGCUGGCGGAAUGCUUUACACAUGCAAGUCGAACGGCAGCACGGGACUCAGGCAACUGAGCCCUGGUGGCGAGUGGCGAACGGGUGAGUAACAUAUCGGAACGUACCCAGUCGUGGGGGAUAACUCUCCGAAAGGAGAGCUAAUACCGCAUACGUCCUGAGGGAGAAAGCGGGGGACCUGCAAGGGCCUCGCGCGAUUGGAGCGGCCGAUAUCGGAUUAGCUAGUUGGUGGGGUAAAGGCUCACCAGGCGACGAUCCGUAGCGGGUCUGAGAGGACCGACCCGCCACACUGG